UUCCUGUCUUGUGUGGACUUUAGUUAUUUCCUGUUCUGUGCCAUGUUUUGUAGUCCUUUGUAGUUUUUCUUGUUUAUGAGUCUCUCCAGGUGUUUCUAAUUAGCCCCGCCCCCUUGUUAUCUUGUUUAGCUUGUUUGUCUUGUUGCUUGUAGCUGUCUCCAUGUUCCUGUCUUGAGUUUCGUGUUCCUUUGUUUGCCCUGGAUGACCUGUUUAAUUUAUUAAAAUAGUGCUUGCAUUUGGA